GGCGGUAUAGCUCAGCUGGUUAGAGCAUCGGAAUCAUAAUCCGAGGGUCGUUGGUUCAAGUCCGACUGCCGCUA
rnacentral:tRNA from 1 species